rnacentral:rRNA from 1 species
AUUGAACGCUGGCGGCAUGCCUUACACAUGCAAGUCGAACGGCAGCACGGGAGCAAUCCUGGUGGCGAGUGGCGAACGGGUGAGUAAAGUAUCGGAACGUGCCCAGUCGUGGGGGAUAACGUAGCGAAAGUUACGCUAAUACCGCAUACGAUCUAUGGAUGAAAGCGGGGGAUCGCAAGACCUCGCGCGAUUGGAGCGGCCGAUAUCAGAUGAGGUAGUUGGUGGGGUAAAGGCUCACCAAGCCGACGAUCUGUAGCUGGUCUGAGAGGACGAACAGCCACACUGGGACUGAGACACGGCCCAGACUCCAACGGGAGGCAGCAGUGGGGAAUUUUGGACAAUGGGCGAAAGCCUGAUCCAGCCAUGCCGCGUGCAGGAUGAAGGCCUUCGGGUUGUAAACUGCUUUUGUACGGAACGAAAAGGUUUGGCCUAAUAAGCUGAGCUCAUGACGGUACCGUAAGAAUAAGCACCGGCUAACUACGUGCCAGCCGCCGCCGUAA